rnacentral:rRNA from 1 species
UACGUAGGGGGCAAGCGUUGUCCGGAAUCAUUGGGCGUAAAGCGCGUGUAGGCGGUUCGGUAAGUCGGCUGUGAAAGUCCAGGGCUCAACCCUGGGAUGCCGGUCGAUACUGCCGGACUAGAGUUCGGAAGAGGCGAGUGGAAUUCCCGGUGUAGCGGUGAAAUGCGCAGAUAUCAGGAGGAACACCGGUGGCGAAGGCGGGUCUCUGGGCCGAUACUGACGCUGGAGGAGCG